rnacentral:rRNA from 1 species
GACGAACGCUGGCGGCGUGCUUAACACAUGCAAGUCGAACGGAAAGGCCUCUUUCGGGGGGUACUCGAGUGGCGAACGGGUGAGUAACACGUGAGUAACCUGCCCUUGACUUUGGGAUAACUUCAGGAAACUGGGGCUAAUACCGGAUAGGAGCUCCUGCUGCAUGGUGGGGGUGGGAAAGUUUCGGCGGUUGGGGAUGGACUCGCGGCUUAUCAGCUUGUUGGUGGGGUAGUGGCUUACCAAGGCUUUGACGGGUAGCCGGCCUGAGAGGGUGACCGGCCACAUUGGGACUGAGAUACGGCCCAGACUCCUACGGGAGGCAGCAGUGGGGAAUAUUGCACAAUGGGUGGAAGCCUGAUGCAGCAACGCCGUGUGCGGGAUGACGGCCUUCGGGUUGUAAACCGCUUUCGCUCAUGACGAAGCUUUGUGUGACGGUAGUGGGUAAAGAAGCACCGGCUAACUACGU